rnacentral:rRNA from 1 species
UACGGGGGGGGCAAGCGUUGUUCGGAAUUACUGGGCGUAAAGGGCUCGUAGGCGGCCAACUAAGUCAGACGUGAAAUCCCUCGGCUUAACCGGGGAACUGCGUCUGAUACUGGAUGGCUUGAAUCCGGGAGAGGGAUGCGGAAUUCCAGGUGUAGCGGAUGAAAUGCGUAGAUAUCUGGAGGAACACCGGUGACGAAGGCGGCAUCCUGGACCGGCAUUGACGCUGAGGAGCGAAAGCCAGGGGAGCAAACGGG